GUGUCAGCCGCCGCGGUAAUACAGAGGUCCCAAGCGUUGUUCGGAUUCACUGGGCGUAAAGGGUGCGCAGGUGGGCUGGUAAGUUCGAUGUGAAAGCCCCGGGCUUAACCCGGGAAUGGCAUUGGAUACUACUGGUCUGGAGGAUCGGAGGGGGGACUGGAAUUCUUGGUGUAGCAGUGAAAUGCGUAGAUAUCAAGAGGAACACCAGUGGCGAAGGCGAGUCCCUGGACGAUACCUGACACUGAGGCACGAAAGCCAAGGGAGCAAACAGGAUUAGAAACCCGGGUAGUCC
rnacentral:rRNA from 1 species